UGCUGUGCUUGUUAAGAUCAUAAUUAUCCAGUGGGAAAAAUGCAUAUCAACGUCCUGACCGAAUUAUGUCCGGUCAACGAGCCUUUCAAGACUCCCGACAAAUACGAUGGCUCCACACGAUUGUUUGUAAUUGACACCAACUUCUCGCAAGGAAGUGUCGUACUUUUGGUAACAAAAGGCACCGCAAACAGCUCCGUUCAUUACCUAAGUAGUCAAGGGCAGUUGCAUCAAAUAGCUGAUAGUCUAACUGCUUAUCUUCGCCUCAUGUUACUUUACAUGGGACUGCCUGACUGGCCCCUUGUCCACCUCAAAAUGGAACUUUCUUACUGGAACAAGCAACUGUACGCCUAUUUCGCGCCUUAUCUGUCUCAAUCCAACUUUUUGAAAUUAGAGGAUGUAGACAAUCGGACGGCUCACCCAGUCAACGUCCUUGAUAAGAGCAUCUUCAAGGCAAAUAAAACGCCAAGGUGAUUAUUUGUAAAUAUGAACGAAGGUCUCGGCAAUAAACUGAAUGUAGCAAUAAAAUAGCCGAACUUUUUUCGAAUGAAUUUUUUUUAUGUCGUGUAUACUUUAUAGAACGAAUCCGCGUUUGUUUUCAUUGAGUGUAAAUAUAUAUAAACGGCCCUGGCCCAUUGACCGUUGGUGCAAGCUGCAGAGGAUACCCACACCCAGUCUAGACCGUGAAUAUGCGCAGUAGGCCAGUAGGGCUAUUAAACCAUAUAGAGCUCCGAUUUGUUGGUUGGUAGCUGCACGUUCAACCGGGAUCGCCCGUAACACGGAUUCACGCAACUAGAUGGCAUUUGAAGAACAAGCAAAACAAAAUGGAGGUUAUUGUUGUCUCCCUUGACUGUUUGUUAAAUUACCACAACUAAAAAGUCAGAUUUACAGAAUGAUUACAGUGAUGGACGGACAUAAAAACUCAAAUCAUGUAGACGAUCACUGCCUAGACUUCCAAAACGUUACUAUCCCUUCAGGAAGCACUUACAUUCCCGGUUCGGACCCUUGCGUUUUGUGUCUUUGUGAACAUGGAAAGAACCUUUGGUGUCAAGCUGUUCGCUGUGCAGCUUCAGAGGAUUGUUUGUUUUAUACCACAGGGAAGUCAUGCUGUGAGUUUAUUUGCAUGGAUAGAGUUGUUGAAGUCAUUUGUGGGUUCUGCUUACUAUCCCUACUCAUGAUUGGUGUAUUUGUUUACUACCUUCACAGAAAGAACCGUAAGAUGGCAACAGGCAUAUCGAUGAACAAAUCCGAUGCCGAUGUCGCAUUAGUCGACCACUCGUCCAUUUACGAAAAGAAAGUGAAGAUUUAGAUGUGUUACAUAUUAAGUUUGCAUGAAUCUCGUUCCGGUUAACUUUGAAUAUUUUAAACCAACCUAUUACUUGAUCAUUAUUAUAUUAUAAACACUAUGAUUGUAUUGUUAUAUUUAUCCCGUUUCUAGAGAAAUGCGGUCGCUGUCUCUUCUAUCGGACGUGUUGUGUUCUGUUAGAGAGGCGCGGAGAUUUGAAGAGCGUCAAAUGUUGUGUAGUUAACGUUAUUAUACUAUAUCCGUUUCCAAUAAACUUCGUAUAGCUAGA